GGCCGCGGGAAUUCGAUUCAGGCCUAACACAUGCAAGUCGAGGGGCAGCAGGGAUUUAGCUUGCUAAAUCCGCUGGCGACCGGCGCACGGGUGCGUAACGCGUAUCCAACUUUCCCGUUACUCAGGGAUAGCCUUCCGAAAGGGAGAUUAAUACCUGAUGGUGUUUGAAGUUCGCAUGUUCUUCAAACUAAAGAUUUAUCGGUAACGGAUAGGGAUGCGUGACAUUAGAUAGUAGGCGGGGUAACGGCCCCGCUAGUCUACGAUGUCUAGGGGUUCUGAGAGGAAGGUCCCCCACACUGGAACUGAGACACGGUCCAGACUCCUACGGGAGGCAGCAGUGAGGAAUAUUGGUCAAUGGUCGGAAGACUGAACCAGCCAAGUAGCGUGAAGGAUGAAGGUUCUAUGGAUUAAAAGUUCUUUAUACGGGAAUAAAGCCCGCUACGGUAGCGGUU
rnacentral:rRNA from 1 species